CAGCAGCCGCGGGAAUACGAAGGGGACUAGCGUUGUUCGGAUUUACUGGGCGUAAAGGGCGCGUAGGCGGACUGAUAAGUCAGGGGUGAAAUCCCAAGGCUCAACCUUGGAACUGCCUUUGAUACUGUUUGUCUUGAGUUCGAGAGAGGUAAGUGGAACUGCGAGUGUAGAGGUGAAAUUCGUAGAUAUUCGCAAGAACACCAGUGGCGAAGGCGGCUUACUGGCUCGAAACUGACGCUGAGGCGCGAAAGCGUGGGGAGCAAACAGGAUUAGAUACCCGAGUAGUCCCUGUCUCUUAUAC
rnacentral:rRNA from 1 species